UCUUUUCAUUGUGUGCCAGCAGCCGCGGUAAUACGGAAGGUCCGGGCGUUAUCCGGAUUUAUUGGGUUUAAAGGGAGCGCAGGCGGACCUUUAAGUCAGCUGUGAAAUACGGCGGCUCAACCGUCGAACUGCAGUUGAUACUGGAGGUCUUGAGUGCACACAGGGAUGCUGGAAUUCAUGGUGUAGCGGUGAAAUGCUCAGAUAUCAUGAAGAACUCCGAUCGCGAAGGCAGGCAUCCGGGGUGCAACUGACGCUGAGGCUCGAAAGUGCGGGUAUCAAACAGG
rnacentral:rRNA from 1 species